CGCGAUCGUUGCCACAGGCAGCCAAGACUGUGACCUUGGUGCAUUGUCCUUUCUCCAGGUCUUCUACUUUGAAUAUAUGAUACUGAAAAUAUGCUAAAUACGGCCUUGGGCAAAUUGGAAACAGAGUUCAAAAGAGAAGCUCUCCGUGUUUUAUGCAAUGGAAAAAUUGCUGUUGAUGUCUUAGCCUUGAAAGGCACUGACUGUAUCUAAAAACAGAAAAAAGCUCUCCUUUGCCCCGCCUCCAUGGGUUGUUUGGAAACAGCUGUUUGACGCCACGUUUGUACUUCACUCUUAUCAGCCCAUUUGGUAAGAUCAGAAUGUGCCUGAAUAACUUUGAAGGUUAAACUAUGUUGACUAAAUUUUCUGCUGCUGCCUUUCCAGAAGGCCAGCUAAUACCAUCACUGACUGUCAGCAGCAGCCGGGCCCUGCACUCUGCGGGAUCAGGACACACAGUGGAAAUUUCCCUGGCUUCCAUACGUCAUCCCCAUGUGGUGCGUGUCCCACUGAGAAGCGCAGCACGUGGCCUCCUGAUGGGUCCGGCAGGGAUGGCCACUAACAUACGGGAUUGUCCCUCCCAUAGGAAGUACCCGGUUUGCAUUGGCUUGCCGUGAUUUGGGGACACAGUGUUUUAUUCUGAUUUUUUUUCUCAAACAUGGGUGUCCUGUUUGUGGCACCUAUAGCAUUUGUCUGAGAAAACUGGACAUUAUGAUCUGCAUUCUCAAUCUCCUAAUUGUAUUAACAUUCUACACAAAUGAGGCUUCACUGUCUUGACUGAGUCUUGAGUCGUGUGAAUUCUUUCCAGUCCUAUUUACAGUGCAAGCUCAUAUGCUCCAUAACACAAACAGAGAGCUUUGAUUUUGAUAAUUUAUUUAAUCAUCACUCUUCUGACAGAAUCCAACUA